UCUAAGCCCUUCCCCCUUUUCCUUUCUUUCUAAGUGACAACGGCACCAUCUCCAUCUCUACCUUCCCUCUAGCAAUUACCCCUUCGUCAACCCUCCGGUAACCCCCUUACCAAUCCUCUGGCAAGCCCAACCUCCUCUCUAAGCCCAAUCUCUUUCUAAGUGUCUGGUAAGUUUUCUUUUCUAAGUGUGCUGAGGAGGACCCGUGAGAUCCGGAUCUUGCUGCUAGAUCCUAGUCUUCGCCAACCCAUCCUAAUGCCGGAGCUGCGUUGAACGCCGACAAUCGAUCUCGCUGUAUACCUUCGCUACCAUCGGAAUCGCCAUCUAAAUCGGUGUCUCCAUCCUAAGAGUGACCUGGGGGAUUUAUAUAACUGGGAGCAGUUUGAUCAGUGCCGCAAUUAAAGCCCCAAGGAUCACCUCCAAAAAUCUCAUCAAUUGGGAGAAAGAAAGAAACUUAGUACCAAAGAGCCUGCAUAAGAGGGGCAGGAAGAGGGAUAAAGGAGGAAAGACCAAAGAAGAGUAAAAGGAGAGUUCAUAGAGGUUCCAAAAACCCAAAAUCCACAUAGGAUGAAUGAAGCAAUUGAGGAUGCGAUCACCCAAGAUGCAGAAACAAGGAAAUGUUCAAGAGGUCCAAAGAAAGUAAUGCCUACGCUAAUAAAUCCUAAUAAUUGAGUCCUUUUUACCAUUUUACAUGAUGAGAAAUUCAUUGAACCUCAAGUUGUUAGGACAAUUACAAAAUGCAUACAACUUAACUUCGAUGAUGCAUGGAAUCAUGGGAAAAAAACACCUAAAGGAAUAAUUUGUAUGCCCCAUACAGAAAAAACAAAUGUUGUAUCAAAAAUAUGGGGCACUACAUGCAAAGAGCGAUUUAAAGGAAUGAUGGAAGAAGAAAGGAGUCAAGCAAAGAAGCGUUUUGGUCUGUUGUAAAAGUUAUAAUGAAGGUUGGAUAAGAGUUGAUAUUUGGGAUCGUUUAAUUGACAAUGUUUGGAAUACUGAAACAUGGAAAAAUCAAUCUCAAAAAGCCAAGAAAAAUAGGCACAUAAAAAAAUGGAAGUAUUACCAAACAUACUGGUGGAUCGAUUCCUUUUUUGCUUCAUGUGGAGAGGAUGGCAACACAAUUAAAUCGGAAGCCAACAUAUGUGAAGUGUUUAAUCGCACCCACAAGUAUGAGAAGGGUUAUGCUGAUUAUGUUGAUAACAAGUCUAAAUCCAUGAGUGAAUCUUAUACUAAUUCAAUGAGCCAAAAAUAUGGUGUCGAUGAAUCUUCUCAUCCUGAAUUUGACCCACAAGCUUGGUGUGAAGUAAUUGGAGGAAUGAAGACUACGCGUACACAUGUGUAUGGAUUCGGGAUCACGCACGUGGGGAAAAAAAAAUUAAUUUCUCCUCCCACUAGUAUUGGGAGGCUCCUAUUCAUCGGCUUAUAGUCCACUAGUUGAAGCUCCAUGUUCUUCUACCGGAGUUGAUAAUCUAUGGGAAGAAGUAGCUGCUAUGAAGAAUAAACUACAAAACUUAGAGGAUGUUUAGAAUGAAAUCAAUACAUUUUUGUGUCGCAUUAUUGAGAUGUUAAAUCCUGCAACACUUGCUAGGAAUGCUGGAUUUUCUCAAAUUGGAACGAAUGAUGAAGACCGUGAAGAAGAAACCACCGAUUGUGAACAUUGAAUAUUUGAGAGAGUGAUUCAUAGAACUUGGGUGUUUUAUUGUUAAUUUUAUGUAUGACUUCUCUUAUGAUGUUUUGUUAUUAAGUAUGAAUUUGUUUUCUUAUAUGUUUUUAAAUUUGAUGAAACAUUGAAGGUUUUUGUCUUAAACAAUGUUGGACUUGUUCUUUUUAAUGAA